AAUUGUCCUUGACUGCAUGGUUUCUGCUGGUCCAAGCAACUUUCUCCUGCCACGCCUAACCUUGGAGAGCAGGUACCCAAGCAAGCCACUCCUCAGGCAUUUUCCCCACAACUAGAAAUCCAGAGGCUUUGGAUCUUGAGAAGAACAUGAAGGAAAGAUGCCAGGAAGUACAGUCUGGUCUGCUGAUGAUGAUCAAUGGAGGAAGUGUUUCAUGGUGGACAUGGGAAACUGGCCAGAUCAACUGCUGUCACCUUCUAAGACCCAGACGGGGAGGAGGAAUGCCAGAGAAGCUGCAGACUCCCCGGACAUGGAGCCUGAGUGGAGCAGAGGUGGCCCACUGUCAGCCACAGGUCAAGUGUCAGGGUGGGGACGGGGCAGGCUCCACCAGAAGGUGGGGCCAGACCACAGGGCAAGGUGGAGAUGAGUCUGUGGCACCCCCAGGAAGUUUACCAGAUUUGCCCCAG
rnacentral:lncRNA from 1 species